AGGAGUUAAACAAGACUCUCUACGCUCUUGAAGAGACUUAAGUAAAAGGCCAUCAGUCUUCUUAAUUAAGGCUUUUCCUAUAAGCACUGCCUGAAAACACCUUCGUUGCCUUUUCAGGCUCUCACCUGAUUCUAAUUGAGCUCCUUGGAACAUUAACCUGGCUUUUUGCUCAUGAUUCAUCUCAUUAGGAGGAAAAGGUCUCCUCUCUGCUUCCCUCUUUUUCUAUGAACAUGUCCUUUCAAUGUAAAGUACUGAAAGUACAGAACAGAUGCUGAAGGGGCUCUUGAAGGAUGUGCCAGCUCUAAGAUGUAACCCGGGGAGGAUGGAUUGCUGACUGACUUGCACUCGUUUGCACUUGUUUCAAAGGUGACUCCAUCACCAGUGUCUGAAAGACACUCUGCCCCUCAGUAACGAAUGAUUACAGCUAAAUGAAUCCCAGAGGUUUGCCACUGGUGCACAACAAAGGCAUAAGAAUGAGAGCUGUGGUUCAAGAUCUAUUUUUUAUACCAGCAUAAUUUUUUGCUUCAGUGAUCUAUCACUAAACAACAGCUGCUGGGGCAGAGACUCGCUGCACUGCAGGAGCAUUAGCAAAUCCUUUAGUGACUGGGCACAUGUGUUUGCCUCAGGCCCUGGAAAGAGUCACAAACUUGUGAAGGAGGACUGGCAGAUUAAUGUCACCUUCUUCCUGCAAGAGAUUUGAAGAUGUCAGACACGCUGGAACGACAGGCUGCAGCAAGUUUAGAUUUUUAAAGGAUUUAUUUUAUGAUCUGAGCAUAUGUGGCCAAACUCUCUUAAAAGGGGGAGAGAGGGAGGGGAGGAAAAAAAAAAGAGUAAAAUUCAAACAAAUUGGGAUUUUAUAUAUAUACUGGCUCGGAAAUUAAACUUUUGCAAUUUCUUAUAAGAUGUUGUUUUUUUCCCCACUAGAGAUCUAUGUGUUCACUUCCAAAUUCUUGAAAUAGAUUUUCUGCCACUUUUGAAGCAAAAAGUAUCCUAAAAAUGGCUGUGUUUAAAGCAUUCAUAAUUGCAGGGAAAAAAACAGAUUUUUCUUAUAUUAGAUGCUAUUACCAGUCUGUAUAUAAUCAGAUUGAGGUAAAAGAUAUAUGGAUUUACUUGUUUAUCACAGAAACUCAGUAUUCUCUUCAUUAAUAAUCACCUUUUUGAUAAUAAUCAAAUUUCUCUUGGUUAAUAAUCAUCUACCUUGAAAAACUAAAAGAUAAAGGUAAUUAACACAACAUGCUUCUGAAUCAUCCAAAAAGAUAAUUUUAAAACUUCUCUUAAACUUUGUGACCCAACAGUUAAAGCCCUAAACCAAGUAAAUGAAACAUAAACUGUAAUUUGUGUACUUUUCACACUCCUUUUGUCAGCAGAUGAUUGGAAAACUGCACUGUCAACUGCACAGGUUUCAGAUUGGGGAUUUUUGUUUAUGUUUGUUUGAUUUUGAGGGUUUGGUUUUUUUAGGUUCUGUCUCAUAAAUAAAAAGAUCUUGUCUAGAACACAAGAUUGGCUGCUGGAUCAAGUGUUCAGCUUCACUGUGUAGAUAUCUGAAUUACUUAUUCAGUACUAAUUAUACUCUUCCAACUCAGAUUCCAGUAAAAGGCAGUGAAGCACAAUGGCUCCUAAAAUACUCAGAAGCUAUGGUGUGGGAAUCCCUGUAAGGAAAAGGGUCUGUGCAUGCUUUGCCCUCAUUUGAGGAACUGGCAUUUACAGAUAUGUGAUAAUAGGAGUUCAAAAUUAAAAUCUCUUACAUUGGAGCUACCUGACUAAGAAACUGCUUGGUAUAAUUUCCUUGAUUAUUUUAGAUGUCAGGAAUUCUUUUAUGUUAACUUUUUAGUCAGAAAUAAACUUGAUGCCUGUUCGAAAUGCAGAAAAUUUGUGAUCCAAGUACUUUUUUUUGGAAGUUUUCUUUCACAGCAUUUGUCCAAGAAAUUACUAUACUCAUCAGACUCGUGGAUCAGUUUUAAGAAUCUGAAAAAUCCACCUGCAGAUGACAACAGCUGCUUGUUUCAUGAUGAAGAACUUCAAUGAAACACACCAGGACAUUAAAAGGACCAAGGGGGCAGCACACGGAUCUGACAGUGCCGUACAUUUCCUGACUCCUCCUCUUGGAUGAAUACAAAUGGGUUUGGAACCACAUGAAAACCUGAGAGAUGAAGUGAUGAAUGAGUGAUGGAGACCCUUCCCUGCGGAGGAAGGAUCACUUUGGCAGCCUGGGCACUUGCAUUUCCCCAGGUCCUGCCAGCUGCGUGUUGUGCUGCUCACGGUGACACCGUGCACAGAUGUGCAGCUCUGAACUGAGCAGUGAACAAAGGACUGCGAGGUUCAGCUUGAAAGCUGGGAAUAUUUUGAUGUUCCAGCUCACCUUGUCACAUGAGGCAUCCCCAAAGUUUUCAGCCGUGCUUGACACAUCAUAAAAAAUGUAUCUGGAAAAAUCAAAUUUUAGUUUUGUUGCUGCUCUGAUGCAUGAAAGCUUAUUCCAGCCAAAAAGAGCUGUAUGUCUGCAAUAGUGGCACUCCAAAAACGAUUUCUGGGAUACAGAGAGCUAUGAGAUAAGGAGAUUGUGUGGAUGCAAUGUAUGAAUUAUUUCUUUCUCUUUCACUUAUGAAGUCCCAAGGCAGAGGUUUUUAAGACUUGGUUUGUAACUGAACUUCCUUUCUCAAAUACAGCAUUUAGAUACAUUUGUUCAGCUCACGCUCAAUAAAUGCAUAUAAUUGGUAUUUACAAACUUCU